GAUGAACGCUGGCGGCGUGCCUAAUACAUGCAAGUCGAGCGAACGGACGAGAAGCUUGCUUCUCUGAUGUUAGCGGCGGACGGGUGAGUAACACGUGGAUAACCUACCUAUAAGACUGGGAUAACUUCGGGAAACCGGAGCUAAUACCGGAUAAUAUUUUGAACCGCAUGGUUCAAAAGUGAAAGACGGUCUUGCUGUCACUUAUAGAUGGAUCCGCGCCGUAUUAGCUAGUUGGUAAGGUAACGGCUUACCAAGGCAACGAUGCAUAGCCGACCUGAGAGGGUGAUCGGCCACACUGGAACUGAGACACGGUCCAGACUCCUACGGGAGGCAGCAGCAGGGAAUCUUCCGCAAUGGGCGAAAGCCUGACGGAGCAACGCCGCGUGAGUGAUGAAGGUCUUCGGAUCGUAAAACUCUGUUAUUAGGGAAGAACAUAUGUGUAAGUAACUGUGCACAUCUUGACGGUACCUAAUCAGAAAGCCACGGCUAACUACGUG
rnacentral:rRNA from 1 species